AACGAACGCUGGCGGCAGGCUUAACACAUGCAAGUCGAACGCACCGCAAGGUGAGUGGCAGACGGGUGAGUAACACGUGGGGAUCUGCCCAAUGGUACGGAAUAGCUCCGGGAAACUGGAAUUAAUACCGUAUGAGCCCGCAAGGGGAAAGAUUUAUCGCCAUUGGAUGAACCCGCGUCGGAUUAGCUAGUUGGUGUGGUAAAGGCGCACCAAGGCGACGAUCCGUAGCUGGUCUGAGAGGAUGAUCAGCCACACUGGGACUGAGACACGGCCCAGACUCCUACGGGAGGCAGCAGUGGGGAAUAUUGGACAAUGGGCGCAAGCCUGAUCCAGCCAUGCCGCGUGAGUGAUGAAGGCCUUAGGGUUGUAAAGCUCUUUCAGUGGGGAAGAUAAUGACGGUACCCACAGAAGAAGCCCCGGCUAACUUCGUGCCAGCAGCCGCAGUAAGAC
rnacentral:rRNA from 1 species